UACGUAGGGUGCAAGCGUUGUCCGGAAUUAUUGGGCGUAAAGAGCUCGUAGGCGGUCUGUCGCGUCGGCUGUGAAAACCCGGGGCUCAACCCCGGGCCUGCAGUCGAUACGGGCAGACUAGAGUGCGGUAGGGGAGACUGGAAUUCCUGGUGUAGCGGUGAAAUGCGCAGAUAUCAGGAGGAACACCGGUGGCGAAGGCGGGUCUCUGGGCCGUAACUGACGCUGGGGAGCGAAAGCGUGGGGAGCGAACAGG
rnacentral:rRNA from 1 species